rnacentral:rRNA from 1 species
AUUGAACGCUGGCGGCAGGCCUAACACAUGCAAGUCGAAUGGUAACAGGAAACAGCUUGCUGUUUCGCUGACGAGUGGCGGACGGGUGAGUAAUGUCUGGGAAACUGCCCGAUGGAGGGGGAUAACUACUGGAAACGGUAGCUAAUACCGCAUAACGUCGCAAGACCAAAGAGGGGGACCUUCGGGCCUCUUGCCAUCAGAUGUGCCCAGAUGGGAUUAGCUAGUAGGUGGGGUAACGGCUCACCUAGGCGACGAUCCCUAGCUGGUCUGAGAGGAUGACCAGCCACACUGGAACUGAGACACGGUCCAGACUCCUACGGGAGGCAGCAGUGGGGAAUAUUGCACAAUGGGCGCAAGCCUGAUGCAGCCAUGCCGCGUGUAUGAAGAAGGCCUUCGGGUUGUAAAGUACUUUCAGCGGGGAGGAAGGGAGUAAAGUUAAUACCUUUGCUCAUUGACGUUACCCGCAGAAGAAGCACCGGCUAACUCCGUG